UAAAAAAUUAAGAAAAGAAAAAAAGAAAAAAAGAAAGAAGUAGAAGAAAACCUUUCGAUAAAACCAAACAUAUCAGAAAACUGAUUGUUUCAUCUAUUCCUCUUCUCACUGUAGAAAAAUCAAGUGUUUUUACAAGAUCUUGUAUUUCAUUGAUUAAUUCAAACAUAUUCAAUUGAGGUAGGAUUCUUCCGAUGAUUCCCAAGACUUUUUUUUAAAAAAAAAAAAAGAAAAAGAAAAAGAAAAAGAAAAAAAAAAAAGUCAAAAGAGAUAUAAAAAAUAGUUUGGUGGUUUUUUUUUCUUGGUCAACUCACUUUUGAAAGAUGUAGUUCAAGAGAAUAACGGAAGAGUCAAGCUUAGAA
rnacentral:rRNA from 1 species